AGAGGGGGUAGAGAGAGAAAGAGAGUUUCAGGGGAGAGAGAGGAAAUUGUGGGUGCAAGUGUGCAGAAGAGAAACACAUAUGGAGUAUAUUGUGUGGAUUUUGAAUAGGACUCUAUUUUUAAUUGAUAAUAAUAAUGUAUGGUUGGGCUUGAUCAUAGGUUUUGCUUUCUUAUGAUCUCCUAUAUUUUUUUACUUUCUAAUUUUGUGUUUUUUUCCAUUAGUAUUUCUACUACAAGAAAGUUAUUCCGCCUCUCCAAAUUUAACGGUGCGCUUGGUUUUUGUUCUAUUUUUAUUUGUGUUGUGAUCUAUGUCUAAAUGUGUUUUUGCGCUCUUUCAUUAUAUUUUAAAGUCAUGUCGCAAUGUUUCUUCAUUAUAGUUAUUGUUUGGAAGUUUAGAGAAUGAGGUUCUAUUCUAGGACUAGGAGCAGAUUGGGUUAUUGCCGUUAGCCUGUAGGUUUUUUAAGGGUUCGUUACUUUGUGUUAUACGAGAUUAUUCUUUUCUAUUUCUGGUUUUCGACGGGCAUCGUGAGGGUCCACUUGUCUUUGCUCCGAUCAAAUUUGUUUGUUGGAACACUUUCAUUCGUUUAUUGCAGCUUCGUAGUUGACCAUGUUGCAGCAACUUGGAACGAGGGUGUGGGAACAUCUAUGGAACAACCUCGUGAUAUUAAGGUCAACCUAAGAUCAUGUGGUGUCCGCUAUGUUCACUAUUACUAUGGAUGCUAUGAUCCACUCCAAGAUUGUCUAAUCUUUUCAUAUGGCGAGCCAGUUGAUCCGCAUAUGCACGAAGAAGUUGACACCCUACUUGUUGCCGAACAAAAUAAUUUGUUGAGGAAUUUCAAAACUCCUUCAUGUGUUGCUAUGAGAGAAUAUUAUUGCUAUUUGUUCCAAAUACGCACCGACGAUAUAACAAAUAUCCUUAGAACUGGUCGAGUAAUUCAGCAGUUUUAGAUUGUUACUUUUGUUAAGAUCGAGACACAAAGACUAGAGUUUUUUCGCCAUAAUCAAUCAAAGUUUGAAAUGAGGGCUGAAUCGUAUCAAGGGAUAGUUGAGAGUAUAAUAUCUAAUGGUGUUACUAGCACAAAAUCUGUUGGUAAGCAUUUUCUUCUUCUUAAGACCUUUACAGUUGGCCAAUGUGAUCUACGUUUUCGUUACAUGAAUGCGCUGGCACUUGUUAUGGCAACCAAUUAAUAUUUGUUGUAAUUAAAUAUGAAUAUUUUAGUUAAAUUAAGUUAAAAUUUAUUUUGAAUUUUUGUAAUGAUGAUUACUGCAAUUAAUAUAGAUAUUGAUAAAGACAUUCUAGCAAAGAUUGCUGCCAAAGCUAAAGGCAAUGGGAAAAUAUACCAGGAAAGCCAUGUUGAGCAUAUCAAAGAUACAAUUGGAAGCUCAUUUGAAGAUAGUCUUUCUUCUGAUGAUGAUAAACCAAUAUCAGCAAAGAAGGCGAAGAAAAUGAAGUCUAGCUAAUAUGUUGUAAGACAAGAUGCAAAGCAUAUCUGAUUCAUCCCACCAACUUACUGCACUGGUUGUCGAGCAUAAUAAAGGCAAAAGAGUCCCACAAACACCAACACUCAAGUCAAGGAGUGGCAGAACAAUCAAGCGAAUAAUAUUGGAUUAAUGAAGUGAAAGAUUUUAUGAGACUUUGAAGCAACUUUUGUAUGUACUUUAUACAAUUAUUUACUUAUGACUUUUGGCUCUAUUACACCAUGUCGGUGACAUACUACUAGCAUUUUGAGGUUACCUUUUGUAUGUACAUUGUAUAUGCCUCGAUGCAGUUUUUAGUUUAAUGUUAUAUGUAUAUAUAA